GGGGUGCUCGAGUGGCGAACGGGUGAGUAACACGUGAGUAACCCGCCCUUGACUUUGGGAUAACUUCAGGAAACUGGGGCUAAUACCGGAUAGGAGCUCCUGCUGCAUGGUGGGGGUCGGAAAGUUUCGGCGGUUGGGGAUGGACUCGCGGCUUAUCAGCUUGUUGGUGGGGUAGUGGCUUACCAAGGCUUUGACGGGUAGCCGGCCUGAGAGGGUGACCGGCCACAUUGGGACUGAGAUACGGCCCAG
rnacentral:rRNA from 1 species